rnacentral:rRNA from 1 species
AACAAACGCUGGCGGCGUGCCUAAUACAUGCAAGUCGAACGGGGAAAGCUUUCGGGUGAGUACUAGUGGCGCACGGGUGAGGAACGCGUGGAUAAUCUGCCUUAGAGUGGGGGAUAACUAGUCGAAAGAUUAGCUAAUACCGCAUAAGACCACGAGAGCUGCGGCUUUUGAGGUCAAAGGUUUUUCGCUCUAAGAUGAGUCCGCGUAAGAUUAGCUAGUUGGUGAGGUAACGGCUCACCAAGGCGACGAUCUUUAACUGGUCUGAGAGGAUGAUCAGUCACACUGGAACUGAGACACGGUCCAGACUCCUACGGGAGGCAGCAGUAGGGAAUAUUGCACAAUGGAGGAAACUCUGAUGCAGCGACGCCGCGUGAGUGAUGGAGGCCUUCGGGUCGUAAAGCUCUGUCGCAGGGGAAUAACACAAUGAAGGUACCCUGUAAGAAAGGAUCGGCUAACUUCGUG